AUUGAACGCUGGCGGCAUGCUUUACACAUGCAAGUCGAACGGCAGCGCGGGCUUCGGCCUGGCGGCGAGUGGCGAACGGGUGAGUAAUGCAUCGGAACGUGCCCUGUCGUGGGGGAUAGCCCGGCUAAAGCCGGCUUAAUACCGCAUACGACCUGAUGGUGAAAGCGGGGGACCGAAAGGCCUCGCGCUAUUUGCGCGGCCUAUGUCGGAUUAGCUAGUUGGUGGGGUAAAGGCUUACCAAGGCGACGAUCCGUAGCUGGUCUGAGAGGACGACCAGCCACACUGGGACUGAGACACGGCCCAGACUCCUACGGGAGGCAGCAGUGGGGAAUUUUGGACAAUGGGGGCAACCCUGAUCCAGCCAUGCCGCGUGCGGGAAGAAGGCCUUCGGGUUGUAAACCGCUUUUGUUAGGGAAGAAAUCCUCUGGGCUAAUACCCCGGGGGGAUGACGGUACCGGAAGAAUAAGCACCGGCUAACUACGUG
rnacentral:rRNA from 1 species